UGGGGAAUAUUGGACAAUGGGCGCAAGCCUGAUCCAGCAAUGCCGCGUGUGUGAAGAAGGCCUUCGGGUUGUAAAGCACUUUUAUCAGGAGCGAAACGCUGUCGGCUAAUACCCGGCGGAACUGACGGUACCUGAGGAAUAAGCACCGGCUAACUUCGUGCCAGCAGCCGCGGUAAUACGAAGGGUGCAAGCGUUAAUCGGAAUUACUGGGCGUAAAGCGUGCGUAGGCGGUUUCUUAAGUCUGCUGUGAAAUCCCGGGCUCAACCUGGGAAUGGCAGUGGAUACUGGGAGGCUAGAGUGUGUCAGAGGGUGGUGGAAUUCCCGGUGUAGCGGUGAAAUGCGUAGAGAUCGGGAGGAACAUCAGUGGCGAAGGCGGCCACCUGGGACAACACUGACGCUGAGGCACGAAAGCGUGGGGAGCAAACAGGAUUAGAUACCCUGGUAGUCCACGCCCUAAACGAUGCGAACUGGAUGUUGGUCUCAACUCGGAGAUCAGUGUCGAAGCUAACGCGUUAAGUUCGCCGCCUGGGGAGUACGGUCGCAAGACUGAAACUCAAAUGAAUUGACGGGGUCAUAGCUGUUUCCUG
rnacentral:rRNA from 1 species